UACGUAGGGUGCGAGCGUUGUCCGGAAUUACUGGGCGUAAAGAGCUCGUAGGCGGUUUGUCGCGUCGAAUGUGAAAUCCCGGGGCUCAACCCCGGGCCUGCAUUCGAUACGGGCAGACUAGAGUUCGGUAGGGGAGUCUGGAAUUCCUGGUGUAGCGGUGAAAUGCGCAGAUAUCAGGAGGAACACCGGUGGCGAAGGCGGGACUCUGGGCCGAUACUGACGCUGAGGCGCGAAAGCGUGGGGAGCAAACAGG
rnacentral:rRNA from 1 species